rnacentral:tRNA from 1 species
GGGGGUAUAGCCCAAUGGUAAAGCACAUGCUUAGCAUGCAUGAAGUUCUGGGUUCAAUCCACAGUACUUCCA